ensembl:lncRNA
UCAGUAAGAGACAGAAACGAAAAAAGGUCAGUUUUUUUCAUUUUCUGAGACCGGAAGUGGUCAUCAGCAAGUGUUGAGCCAAACGACAACAAGAUUCUCAGAGGGCGGAGCCAGAGAGCAGUGAUUGGUCAGACUGACCGAGAGUCAGAGAGCAGUGAUUGGUCAGACCAUAGAUAAUAUAGAAGACAGCGCGCUAGCGUAUCUAGUCUGUGUGUAUCUAUGGUCGGCACGUCUGGUAGCAUCUGUGGCUGCUGUUGACCUUGUUUUUGGAGUAAAACACGGUGGAAGCUGAAUUAGUGAGGAUGACUCCUGCUCCUGUCAUCUCUAAGCUCCUCACACAUCUUUACCUGCACAUGAGGAAAAUCACUCCUGUAGAAUGCAGUGGUUCAUCAGAACCUCUGGGGAUGUCCUGUGGAUUCUGUGGAUCCUGUGGGUUGCAGGGUGGGUCCUACCUAGACCAGGCUGAUCCUGGACCAUCCCACAGAUGCUCCAUCAGAUCUGGAUGUGGGGAGUGUGGAACCCAGAUGUUCAGAGGGAGAUGAUGCCACAUCUGGUCCAGCUGAUGGAAGGUCUUGAAGUUCUCUGACUGGCCUCGACUGAAGAUGGUCGUCUCACUGGAUUUAAGGUUCAGAUGCUCAGUAACAAACUCCACCAAUGAGCCAACAGGGAAGCUUUAGGUUUAUUAAAUGUUGCUAUGAAGGUAUCGCUGUUUUUCUUUGUGAAUGCAAUGUGCUCCAACUGAAACUUGAAUUAGAACUUAGAAGUAAAUCCUUCCAUCUGAAAGGAUUUAGUUGCAUUAAUAACCUCAUAACAUUCUAAUUUUUAUUCCAGUCUUGGUUGGAAAUAGAAUCUCUGUAUUGAUUCAGGUAAAAACUGAACUUCACAGCAUGUUGGAGCAAAACAACCAGAUGAAAACUGUGAUGGUGUUGGAUUGUCAGACCGUAAUGUUGCAGCUCAAAGCAGCUUUUCUAGCUCAGUUCAUUCUGACAUUCAGCUAUGAAUCAACACAGCAGAUGGUGAUCCAUGCUGUGGAAGUCUCACAUCUCCUGAUUUAAUGGAGCUGCUUUGCACUUUUUACACUGUUUAUUCACCAACACUUUAUUUAAUAAAAGUCCCAUCUAGUUUUUAUGAGGAAUGUGAUGUUUUAAUUUCUCUGUGAAUAACUGCAGUCUAAUGCAACAGCUGGAGUUGUAACAUCUGUCCUGAUAUUGAUCAUGAAGUAUUGAUCAGAAUACUUAUGAUGCACAAUGAGGGACGUCUGCAGAGACUGAGAAAGAGUCUCACCACAUCCUGACAUGAGGAAAAAGACUUUAUUGAAGACUACAAUGAGAAAAACUAUCAGACAGCAGACGGCUGCAUUCAAGAAGACCAUCAAACAUCCACGUCAGCUGAUGGAGGUCCAAGAGUCUCACCGAACAACCAACCUACAGAGUGAAGACCUCAAAUCUGAUUGGACGGCCUCCUAUUCAGCCACAUGUGUGAACAAAUGCCUCUAAGCUGAUUUGUUUUCUAAAAUAAAUCUAGUUUGAGUCCUAAUCUAUGCCUGUGUGUUUGCUUCUUUACACCGCUGUUAACAG